rnacentral:rRNA from 1 species
AACGCGAAGAACCUUACCUGGGCUUGAACCGCACAGGACCAGCUUUAGAAAUAGAGCCUUCCCGCAAGGGACCUGUGUAGAGGUGCUGCAUGGCUGUCGUCAGCUCGUGCCGUGAGGUGUUGGGUUAAGUCCCGCAACGAGCGCAACCCUUACUCUUAGUUGCCACCCGCAAGGGGGAACUCUAGGAGGACUGCUCCGGAUAACGGAGAGGAAGGUGGGGAUGAGGUCAAGUCAGCAUGGCCUUUAUGUCCAGGGCUACACACGUGUUACAAUGCGCGCUACAAAGUGUCGCGAACCCGCGAGGGGGAGCUAAUCGCAAAAAAGCGCGCUCAGUUCGGAUUGCAGUCUGCAACUCGACUGCAUGAAGCUGGAAUCGCUAGUAAUGGCGCAUCAGAUCGGCGCCGUGAAUACGUUCCCGGGCCUUGUA